rnacentral:misc_RNA from 1 species
UACGUAGGUGGCAAGCGUUAUCCGGAAUUACUGGGCGUAAAGCGCACGCAGGUGGCUGUUUAAGUCUGACGUGAAAGCUCCUGGCUUAACUGGGAGAGGUCGUUGGAAACUGAGCAGCUUGAGGCGAUGAGAGGGGUGUAGAAUUCCCGGUGUAGUGGUGGAAUGCGUAGAUAUCGGGGGGAAUACCAGUGGCGAAAGCGGCACCCUGGCAUUGGCCUGACGCUCAGGUGCGAAAGCGUGGGUAGCGAACGGG